ACAGUGCUAUCUGAGCAUUUCCAAUUUUUAUAGAAGAUUCAUAAGACACUUCAGUUCUGUUCCCGAGCCUCUUUCUGCAAUGACCAGGAAGUCAGCUAAGCCAUUUGUGUGGACCUGCAGAGCAGAUCAAGCUUUCAACAAGCUAAAGAGACUCUUUACGUCUGCCCCAAUCCUAGCCCUCCCUGAUUCAGAGCUGCCUUUUGUGUAGGAGGUAGAUGCCUCAGACGUGGGAGUAGCAGCUGUCUUGUCACAGAUAAGUAAGAGCGAUAACAAGCUUCACCCAUGUGCUUUCUUUUCUCGUCAGCUUACACCAACGCAGAGGAAUGAUGAUAUUGGAAACCGGGAGUUGCUGGCUGCAAAGAUGCCCUUGUAGGAGUGGAGGCACUGGCUGGAGGGGGCCAAACACCCAUUUCCUAAUCUGGACGGACCACAGAAUCUGACUUAUGUCGAGGAGGCUAAGAGACUGAAUGCCCGACAAGCCAUUGAGCCCUCUUUUUCAACCGCUUUAACUUUACUCCUAUUACCCAGGUUCAAAGAGUCUUAAGCCAGAUGCACUUUCGAGGCAGUUUUAGCCUCCAGAAGUGAAGUCUUGUCCAGAACCCAUUCUGCCCACUACUAAGAUGGUAGCUCCCAUCCAAUGGGAUGUUGAAAUGGUUGUUAAGAGGGUGCAACUGAUGCAGCUAAAAGACACGGGCAGCUGCAGCAGUUGCAGCGGGAGAUGUCUGGUGCGAACGCGGCUGUAAACUCAAGAGCCAGUGGAUAUCAGAUGCCAAGCGGAUGCGUAUGCGGCUGCAGUGUGCUGCUGAGGCUGAAAUACCCAACGCCAGUAGACACCAGGCAGUGGAGGGGACAAGGAUGGGAAGGCUGCGGUCAACGGAGUCUAAUGGCACCUGGAGGACAUACUACACUGACGGGUCUGCUACCAGGGGGAGGAUCAUGGCUAUGCCUUGCCUGCUUCUCCUACCGCUCUUAAGACCAGACUCAAAGAAGCCUUGGCAAGAGUGGAACGUCUAGAGCGAGAGAAGAAGAAUUCCAUGGCCAGAGAAAAGAGGGCAAAAACCACAGUGAAGAGUCUUUUGGUGGAUUUGACCAGCAUCAUUUGACAAGAGCUACCACCUUCUAGCCCUGAAAAACAACGGAGGCACAGUGAAGGUGUGAUUAAGAUUAAGAUAUUAAUCUUUGAAAAAAUAACGCAGAUUAAUCCAUUCCGUAUUGACCUUUGAACCUGGAGCCACCAUUCGACUGUAAAAUGAAGGAGGGAGACGAGAGCGCGAUGGCACUGCCUGGAUCAUUGAUUGGAACAUUUACUUAUAAAAAACGGCCUGAUGGAAGUGUUGCAAUGUCUGCAGCAAGGAAUUUGCAUAUCAUCACAGUUCGUCCACUCUAAAGUACCACAUCAAUGCAAAUAAUCCAGGAGUUAACGUUAAUCUGGAGGUACGACCUAGCACAUCCCAUGAUACCAACUCUAGCAGUCAACGUCAUCUUCAAGAUGCCUUGUUUGUACAUUGAAAAAAAAUCUUCUCCGUGAAGCACUUUUAAAUUUAUUUUCUUAGCAUAUUGGGUCAUAUUGUUGAUUGUUAUGGCCAUUAUUUGAACAAUGAAAAUAAUUAUAAAAGUUUUUUUUUACUUUAUUGUCACUAUUAUUCAUUGAUUCAUUUGAAUUGAAAUAUUUUAUACUUUUACAGG
ensembl:lncRNA